UAAGGAAUAUUGGUCAAUGGACGCAAGUCUGAACCAGCCAUGCCGCGUGAAGGAUGAAGGUCCUCUGGAUUGUAAACUUCUUUUAUCUGGGACGAAAACGGGAUUUUUAUCUCAAUUGACGGUACCAGAGGAAUAAGCACCGGCUAACUCCGUGCCAGCAGCCGCGGUAAUACGGAGGGUGCGAGCGUUAUCCGGAUUUACUGGGUUUAAAGGGUGCGUAGGUGGGCUUAUAAGUCAGUGGUGAAAUCUCCGAGCUUAACUUGGAAACUGCCGUUGAUACUAUAGGUCUUGAAUUAUCUGGAGGUAAGCGGAAUAUGUCAUGUAGCGGUGAAACGCUUAGAUAUGACAUAGAACACCAAUUGCGAAGGCAGCUUACUACAUAUAAAUUGACGCUGAGGCACGAAAGCGUGGGGAUCAAA
rnacentral:rRNA from 1 species